rnacentral:lncRNA from 1 species
AGGAGGAAUAUAACAAGAAGAAGUACAAUGUAGUUCUUGAGAGAGUUCCGUUCUUGUACAUAUCAAUUGCUAUCUUGUUCUAUAGUUAUAAUUCUAGUUUUUAUUUUCAACAUGGUAUCAGAGCGAGGUUCUUUGUGGCAUAAUAAUAUGAUUUUCAAGAAGCAAUUCAAGCUGAGAAGGUGGUUACAACAGAAGGGCUGCCGAGAAAGAUUUGAUGCGGUAUGGGCAAGUGGGAGGUAUCAUCAUGUGCAGUAUGGGAUGCAUAUGGGGCUACUUUCUACUCUGUUUGCACUAACCAGUAGAAGUUAAAAUUAGAGAAAAAAGCUGAAGCCUUGGUGCUCAGGAUGAUGGAGAGAAGUGCUCCAAUGAAUAUGGUGUUGAUGAGAAGUGCAUCAACAAAUUGGGUGUUGAUGAGAAGUGCAUCAACAAAUUGGUGUUGAUGAAAAGUGCAUCAACAAAUUGGUGGUGGUGAGAAGUGCAUCACAGAUGAAGAGAAGUGCUUCAUAAAUUAUGUUAAGUAAAUUUAAGAUUAUGGGGGUGAUUGUUGGAAUAAUCUUAAAUUUAGUUAUUAUUAUUAUUUGUUUAGUUAUUUAUUUGGAGGAUUAAUUUAAGAUUGAAGUAGUUGGAUGUUUGUUGGAGUUCUAGAGAGUUUGUAGGAGAUAUUGAGUCUAUCUUGUUUUAGGAGAUUUAUUAAAUAAGUAGUAGAAUAUUAUUAGGAGUCAAAGUACGUUUGUUUUAAAUAUGGCAUGUAAUAUCUUUUUAGAGGAAAAAGGAGGAAUAUAACAAGAAGAAGUACAAUGUAGUUCUUGAGAGAGUUCCGUUCUUGUACAUAUCAAUUGCUAUCUUGUUCUAUAGUUAUAAUUCUAGUUUUUAUUUUCAACAUGGUAUCAGAGCGAGGUUCUUUGUGGCAUAAUAAUAUGAUUUUAAAGAAGCAAUUCAAGCUGAGAAGGUGGUUACAACAGAAGGGCUGCCGAGAAAGAUUUGAUGCGGUAUGG